UGGGGAGUGUAGAUUAGGAGAGUGAGACAUUUACACCUGUGAGAUUUUUUUUUUUUUUUUGAUAAUACUUUCUAGCAUAAAUGACUAAGUGAUAUAUUAAACGUUUAAGCCAGUUUUUUUUUUUUUUUGUUUGUUUGUUUUUUUUUUUAGAAGAGCCAGGGGGUAUCAUUUCAAAGCACGUUAACCACUGACAAUAUUUUUUUUUUAAAAGGAAGUAACGGGAUCCGACCUGGUCAAAACAAACAAUAUAUUUGUGUGAUUUGUGUCUUCCCAAACAUCCUGGCUGGUUUAGAAAUGGCAGAAGAUACUUUUAAUGAUGUCGCAGAGGAAGACUAGAGUGAAUUGUGGUGUUUGAUAGUAUUUGACUUAAUGACAUGUUCCUAAUCCACCUUAGAGUACAUGUAGGCUAAAUAUACAAAUAUGGCAGCACAAUAUCUUCAGAGUCCAACAGGAAUAUCUGUAGCUGUAACGUUCAAAUGUGACUGUAGUCACUUCAAUACCUCCAAUAGGUGCUUAUGGCUCACUGUGUAGAACGAAUAAACCAUUGUUUGUUUUGACCAGAUCAAAUCCCUUUACUUCCCUUCCCCCUUUUUUUUUUUUUUUUUUUUUUUUUUAAUAUUGUCAAUGGUUAACGUGCUCUGAAUGACGGUUAGGACGUGGAUGACUGAACGAGUUUUUAUUGUUUUCUGAGUGACUAGUUUAAACAACGUGGUCUCAGUUUGUUCCGAUGUAUUUUAGCAAAUCCGGCUGAUGUUCUGCUGCGUGUUGUUCUGAUGGGAGGCUGCUGAGGGUCUGAGUGUUUCUGAGAACAAACCCGAGUUAAACCUGAAGUUCUGCUCUGGAUCUGUUCCACUGAACACACAAACUAACACACAACACAGCAGUGGACGUGCUUCUAUGUUGUGGGUUUUCUUGGUCUGAUCGUGACGAAUCUGCGAACGAAACAUCUGGAGACGGAAACUAUCGCCAGUUAACCUGAUCACCAGUUAAACUGGAACACCGGGAUACUGUCUCUCUGUUCGCAUGACAAUAAACGGAGAUCUGCCGUCUUUCUCCAAGGAGUAUUCAGUCUCUGUACCUGUCUUAGCUCACCACGCUACAUUGGUGGCAGCGGUGCUGCGACUGGACUCACUUUUCUGCUUAUUUUGUUGGAGACUAUUUGUUCGGACUGUAUGUUUGGAGGCCCUAAGGACGAGGACGACUAUGGGAAGUACAGAGCUGCAUGGACUGAGGAGGUCUGACCGCGACGAAUCUGCGGACGAAACAUCUGGAGACGAAAUCUAUCGCCAGUUAACCUGAUCACCAGUUAAACUGGAACACCGGCUUUUAUUCGGACUACAGAGCCGCUGGAGUUAACCCGGAAUUCGUAAGUAACUAAAUAAACAUUAUGUGAUUCCAAACCGCCGUGUGUAAGGUGUAUUAGAGUGUAAAAAUAGGUUAAUGUGUUAAAUUAAACCGGUUCAGAGAGCUGGGCAGGCUGCAGCUGCUGUGGCCAUUAGGUUGGUGUUUCUUUUGACGAGGGAAAAACUAGA